CACUCCUGCGGGAGGCAGCAGUGGGGAAUUUUGGACAAUGGGCGACAGCCUGAUCCAGCAAUGCCGCGUGAGUGAAGAAGGCCUUCGGGUUGUAAAGCUCUUUUGUCAGGGAAGAAACGGUGAAAGCUAAUAUCUUUUGCUAAUGACGGUACCUGAAGAAUAAGCACCGGCUAACUACGUGCCAGCAGCCGCGGUAAUACGUAGGGUGCAAGCGUUAAUCGGAAUUACUGGGCGUAAAGCGUGCGCAGGCGGUUUUGUAAGUCUGAUGUGAAAUCCCCGGGCUCAACCUGGGAAUUGCAUUGGAGACUGCAAGGCUAGAAUCUGGCAGAGGGGGGUAGAAUUCCACGUGUAGCAGUGAAAUGCGUAGAUAUGUGGAGGAACACCGAUGGCGAAGGCAGCCCCCUGGGUCAAGAUUGACGCUCAUGCACGAAAGCGUGGGGAGCAAACAGGAUUAGAUACCCCAGUAGUCC
rnacentral:rRNA from 1 species